CUACGUGCCAGCAGCCGCGGUAAUACGGAAGGUUCGGGCGUUAUCCGGAUUUAUUGGGUUUAAAGGGAGCGUAGGCCGUGGAUUAAGCGUGUUGUGAAAUGUAGAUGCUCAACAUCUGACUUGCAGCGCGAACUGGUUUACUUGAGUGUGCACAACGUAGGCGGAAUUCGUCGUGUAGCGGUGAAAUGCUUAGAUAUGACGAAGAACUCCGAUUGCGAAGGCAGCUUACGGGAGCACAACUGACGCUGAAGCUCGAAGGUGCGGGUAUCAAACAGGAUUAGAUACCCUGGUAGUCCGCACAGUAAACGAUGGAUGCCCGCUGUUGGUUCAUUAGGGUCAGCGGCCAAGCGAAAGCAUUAAGCAUCCCACCUGGGGAGUACGCCGGCAACGGUGAAACUCAAAGGAAUUGACGGGGGCCCGCACAAGCGGAGGAACAUGUGGUUUAAUUCGAUGAUACGCGAGGAACCUUACCCGGGCUUGAA
rnacentral:rRNA from 1 species